rnacentral:rRNA from 1 species
UACGUAGGGGGGCAAGCGUUGUCCGGAUUUAUUGGGCGUAAAGCGCUCGCAGGCGGCUUGCUACGUCGUGCGUGAAACACCCCGCUCAACUGGGAGGGUGCGCCGAAUACUGAAUGACUUCGAGUGCGGGGAGAGGAAAGUGGAAUUCCUGGUGUAGCGGUGAAAUGCGUAGAUAUCAGGAGGAACACCGGUGGUGUAGACGGCUUUCUGGACCGUAACUGACGCUGAGACACGAAAGCGUGGGUAGCAAACAGG